GGGCGAGUAAUGCCUAGGAAUCUGCCUGGUAGUGGGGGACAACGUUUCGAAAGGAACGCUAAUACCGCAUACGUCCUACGGGAGAAAGCAGGGGACCUUCGGGCCUUGCGCUAUCAGAUGAGCCUAGGUCGGAUUAGCUAGUUGGUGAGGUAAUGGCUCACCAAGGCGACGAUCCGUAACUGGUCUGAGAGGAUGAUCAGUCACACUGGAACUGAGACACGGUCCAG
rnacentral:rRNA from 1 species